rnacentral:lncRNA from 1 species
AUGGUUAUUUUCUAUUUCUCUAGUUUGACUAGUUUCAUUCUUUGCAGGACAUUUUCAUUUUUAGAUGUUCUUAGCUAUUUUGCCUGUGGUGAUCAGAAGGCAGAUGAACCAUGGGGUUCUAUUUCUCUGACUCUAGAUCCUUUUAAAAAGCUGGUGACCUUUUUGUCUUUCUUUUCUUGUUUUAUCGUUUUUUUUUUUUUUUUUGAAAAGUGGAAAAAUAUUCUCAGGGUAUAUUGAAUUGAUUGAGCCUCCCUUGGAUUUCUUUGACUUAUUUGACUUACUCUAUAUCUUGCUUCUUUACUCCUCUAAUUUAACAUUUUCCUCUAAACCAUCAUCAGAAUGUUUUUGCACUAUCAUUAUUCAUUUUUUUCAGUUACAGAAUGUGGGAAAAAGGAGAGAAGGGGGCUGUUGA